rnacentral:rRNA from 1 species
GACGAACGCUGGCGGCGUGCCUAAUACAUGCAAGUCGAGCGCAGGAAGUCAUCCGAACCCUUCGGGGGGACGUUGACGGAAUGAGCGGCGGACGGGUGAGUAACACGUAAAGAACCUGCCCUCAGGUCUGGGAUAACCACGAGAAAUCGGGGCUGAUACCGGAUGGGUCAUCGGACCGCAUGGUCCGAGGAUGAAAGGCGCUCCGGCGUCGCCUGGGGAUGGCUUUGCGGUGCAUUAGCUAGUUGGUGGGGUAAUGGCCCACCAAGGCGACGAUGCAUAGCCGACCUGAGAGGGUGAUCGGCCACACUGGGACUGAGACACGGCCCAGACUCCGACGGGAGGCAGCAGUAGGGAAUCUUCCACAAUGGACGAAAGUCUGAUGGAGCAACGCCGCGUGAACGAUGAAGGCCCUCGGGUCGUAAAGUGCUGUUGUAAGGGAAGAACAAGUGCCGCAGGCAAGGGCGGCACCUUGACGGUACCGUGCGAGAAAGCCACGGCUAACUACGG